UUCCAUCGCUGUGCCUGUAACAACCUUUG
rnacentral:sRNA from 1 species